rnacentral:rRNA from 1 species
AUUGAACGCUGGCGGCAGGCCUAACACAUGCAAGUCGAGCGAGCGGCGGACGGGUGCGUAAUGUAUGGGGACUGCCCGAUAGAGGGGGAUAACUACUGGAAACGGUAGCUAAUACCGCAUACUAUCGGAUAACCCAUAUGGGAUUAGCUAGUAGGUGAGGUAAUGGCUCACCUAGGCGACGAUCCCUAGCUGGUCUGAGAGGAUGAUCAGCCAAAAGGGGACUGAGACAGGGCCCAGACUACUACGGAGGCAGCAGUGGGGAAUAUUGCACAAUGGGCGCAAGCCGGAUGCAGCCAUGCCGCGUGUAUGAAGAAGACCCUAGGGUUGUAAAGUACUUUCAGUCGGGAGGCGUUACCGACAGAAGAAGCACCGGCUAACUCCGUGCCAGCAGCCGCGGUAAUUC